UAGGUUGUAUCUGCUGAACCUGGCGGUGUUAGCCAUUAAGCUGAGUACUGUGUAUCUGAUGCUAGUAGAAAUAAGGUUUGUUUAAUUGCACCCUUGAAAGGGCUGUUUAGUUGGAUUGCAUGUAGGAAUACAAAUUAUUCCACACAAAAAAUUAUCAUAAGCCAUAAUGAGGUUUAAAAUGUUUAUUACUCAGACAGUAGUGUGACUAAUUUGUUCCCCAAACACUGCUGCUGCAGGCGGCUGCUGCUGGAGGCGAUGACUGCUUGAGCUGGCUGAUGUUGGCGAAGGAUGGUGAUGGCGGCUGCUGCUUGUGACGGCUGCUGAUAAUGUUGGCCACUGCUGGCGCUGGCAGCUGGUGGCGGCUGGUGCUGGCCAUGGCUGCUGGUGGCGACUGCUGACUGCUGGAAUAAGAGGAGACUGGAGGCUGUGGAGACUGCGGACGGUGUGCCGGGAAUGGAGUGGCCGAGUACAUCCAUGGCAACCAGUAAGGUGUUCGUUAGUGGCCUAGAUGGUAUGACCUUAGGUGAGGAGGUCUGCUGUGUGGAAAUCGCCUUCUUGGUCUGACUCUUGCUGCCAAGCUCAUGGCAUGAGGGAAGGUUGCUGUCCAGACUCAUGGCCUCUCUUUCCAGCUGUUCCACUACGUUGGAGGAUUCCAUAAGGGAAUCACUCGUCUGGGAACGGAAGAGGUGCUCCACGUGCUGCAGGAGAGUGAACAGCUCAUCGCAUGGCCGAGCGAGAAGCUGAUGACCCUCUUCGCUAUGUAUCCUGCCAGGUGGUAGAAGACACAAGACUCGGUCUUUGUGAGGUCAGGUGGGUCUACCAGCUGCUCCACUCUCACAACCUCAGAAGCACUGCAGUUGCUGUUCUUGUUGUCCAAGAAGUCCGCCAAGUGGUCUGAUGCAUCAUCCAGGUAACUGCCAGUAUGCGUUGUCGAGAGGAACUGCCCUACAGUGACAGCCCGUAGUGCAUAGUGG